AUUGAACGCUGGCGGCAUGCCUAACACAUGCAAGUCGAACGGCAGCACAGCAGUAGCAAUACUGUGGGUGGCGAGUGGCGGACGGGUGAGGAAUACACAGGAAUCUACCCUGUCGUGGGGGAUAACGUAGGGAAACUUACGCUAAUACCGCAUACGACCGAGAGGUGAAAGUGGGGGACCGCAAGGCCUCACGCGAUUGGAUGAGCCUAUGUCCGACUAGCUAGUUGGCGGGGUAAGAGCCCACCAAGGCGACGAUCGGUAGCUGGUCUGAGAGGAUGAUCAGCCACACUGGAACUGAGACACGGUCCAGACUCCUACGGGAGGCAGCAGUGGGGAAUAUUGGACAAUGGGCGAAAGCCUGAUCCAGCCAUGCCGCGUGUGUGAAGAAGGUCUUCGGAUUGUAAAGCACUUUAAGUCGGGAGGAAGGGCUGUAGGCUAAUACCUUGCAGUUUUGACGUUACCGACAGAAUAAGCACCGGCUAACUUCGUGCCAGCAGCCGCCGUAAUAC
rnacentral:rRNA from 1 species